CGUGUGCAGUUACCGAAAUAUAAAUACCUAAUUGAUAAAUUAUAAAAAUGGAAGGUAAAAAACACCAACGGGCACCCAAUUUUACAUGUGACGAAAGUAUGCUUUUAUGUAACCUCUUAGACACAUAUAAUUUCAUAAUAAUUGAAAAUAAAAAAACUGAUGGUUAGACCGUAGCCGAAAAACAGAAGGCUUGGAAGAUGCUGAGUAAAGAAUAAUAUAACGCCAACACCACUUAUGUACCCAGAACUACUGAGAAUUUACUGAUAUACCCAGAUAGCAAAGUUUUAAACGCGUCUGUAGUUCAGACAGUGGAGCUCCAUGGACAAGACUGAUGUUAAUCUCCCCCCAGAGGAAUGCCAAACAACAUUCAUCAAUAUUUUAAGUAAAGAAGCGAAACAAUCAUCAAGCAAAAUAAAACAACAAGCCAUAUUUUAAGAUUUAGGUAUAUAACUAAUAUACAGUGGUAAUUGAUAAUAAUAAACAUGUUUUUAAAUCAA